ensembl:lncRNA
AUGCAAACUGUUGCAACACUGGCCUGCUGAAUUUGCAGAGAAGCAGCUCCUUUGUCUGUGCUGUUCCUCCAUCCCAGCACCGAACGAAAUAACCGAGGUGACAUCCUGAUCUCUUGGGGGCUCAUGUGCUGCACAGGGCGGCCCAGCAGCCCCCUAACUUCAUGCUGAAGCUCGUGAAUGUUGGAACAAGAGGCAGGAAUGGGUACUGGAAUGAUUCACAAGUGAUAAAGAUCCUGAAAGAAGGAGGCUGGAGGAAAGGAUGAGUAACAGAAAUAGCUUGCUUGUUUCCUCUUCAGAAAAGCAAGAGGAGCGAGGGAUGCUGAAACGAGAACAUACUUCUUUUUUCCCCUGUGGCUACUAGGAAGUUGACAGGAAAAGAAAGGCCUGCUCUUGUUCAGCAGCUAGAAAUGGGAGCUUCACCCUGAGCAGGUACUCACUGGCUAUAAAACGAACCAAGGAACUGUAUCUACAAGCACGGUCCCGCAGCCAUUUCCUUUCAGAAAGUCCCCAGAGCUGGUAGGAGCAAGGGACUGAGCUUCUCAGGAGGACGGUAAUAGUUUAUGACAGAAGUUGUCUUGCCUUCUGCAGGGGUGAGUUCCCAAAUCAGUCUUGCAGGUACAUUUCUUGAGAACUUUUCACUGGUCUAAAACUGCACCGAUUUUCUUUUAUUUUGUGCAGUGAAGUGGUGAAUAUCGGCCUGUUUUUCAUCCCCAGUGCCACUUCUCCAUGAGUCCUCUGGAAGGCUCUGGGAAAACAGAGCUUACUGGAGAGCGACAGCAUAGAUCUCUCAGCACAGCUUCCUGGCAGAUUCUGAGAUUAGCGAUCAUCGUAAAACUUACAGUGGGUUCUGUUCCUCCUGUCCCUCACACCGAAAUUAUCCCUGUAUUUCUAACAGUGCCGUGAGGGUCACCAGCCGACUGACUGAGCGUCUUAUCGUUAGAUGCAACACCCUGUGCCAAGGAGACUGGUGUUGCCACAGGGUUUAAAUAGCUGAGCUAAUAUUUAAACGUCUGUCCCCUCUGAUCUCUGCAAAAUGAGGAGAAGAGACUUUGUGACUGCACACAGACAGCUGCACAGUGCCCAGAGCACUCUGCAGGCCUCAGCGAACCUCCUCGCCUCACAGGUAGCGGUGCAACCCACACAGCAGCACCCAGCUCCUCUCUAACAUAAAGAGCAGGCAGGGGCAACGAGGAGCUCUCCUCUUGAUGCCAUUUGCAGCACUCACGGGCCUGUGCUGAAAGGCUGCCUAUCAGCACUGUGGUGGCCCGCGCAGCGGGUUCAGUACCUGAACGUACCCCCAGCAAACCGACCUACUGCGCGUGGCUCUCUGCUUCCUUUUCUGCUUGUCACCGUGGGGGAAUAAAGCUAACAUCUCUUUUAUGCCAUACUCCUGGAGACCCAGCCCCACAUUCAUUCUCCUCUGCCAUGAAGUUCACAGCACUAAUCUUGAAGAGCAGAUAAUGAUCAGCCAUGCCCGGGCAAGCCGCAGUACUGAAGCCAAAGUAUAAUUUCUGUGGGAUUACAACAACACAAACCACCAUCAUCAGAGACUGCACUGCGAUGAUGCAAGCAAACAUCUGUAACUCCUGCUGCUCCGGGCGAAACACCGACGUGGGAUUAGUGAGCUGCCACUUGGAGCCCGCUCUGACUGCAGCUUUCGUUCCCCUGACCGCACCGCUUUGGCGUGACCUAAGACACAACUC